rnacentral:rRNA from 1 species
UGCAAGUCGAGCGAACAGAAGGGAGCUUGCUCCCGGAUGUUAGCGGCGGACGGGUGAGUAACACGUGGGUAACCUGCCUGUAAGACUGGGAUAACUCCGGGAAACCGGAGCUAAUACCGGAUAGUUCCUUGAACCGCAUGGUUCAAGGAUGAAAGACGGUUUCGGCUGUCACUUACAGAUGGACCCGCGGCGCAUUAGCUAGUUGGUGGGGUAAUGGCUCACCAAGGCGACGAUGCGUAGCCGACCUGAGAGGGUGAUCGGCCACACUGGGACUGAGACACGGCCCAGACUCCUACGGGAGGCAGCAGUAGGGAAUCUUCCGCAAUGGACGAAAGUCUGACGGAGCAACGCCGCGUGAGUGAUGAAGGUUUUCGGAUCGUAAAGCUCUGUUGUUAGGGAAGAACAAGUGCGAGAGUAACUGCUCGCACCUUG